rnacentral:rRNA from 1 species
CGGGGGGGGCAAGCGUUGUUCGGAAUUACUGGGCGUAAAGGGUGCGUAGGCGGCUUUCUAAGUCGGAUGUGAAAACUCUGGGCUCAACCCAGAGCCUGCAUCUGAAACUGGAGAGCUAGGGUUCUGGAGGGGAAAGCGGAAUUCCUGGUGUAGCGGUGAAAUGCGUAGAUAUCAGGAGGAACACCGGUGGCGAAGGCGGCUUUCUGGACAGAUACCGACGCUGAGGCACGAAAGCUAGGGGAGCAAACAGGAUUAGAUACCCUGGUAGUCCUAGCCCUAAACGAUGGAUACUUGCUGUGGGGGGAUUGAAGCCCCUUGUGGCGAAGCUAACGCAUUAAGUAUCCCGCCUGGGGAGUACGGUCGCAAGGCUG